rnacentral:rRNA from 1 species
GUGGGGAAUUUUGGACAAUGGGCGCAAGCCUGAUCCAGCAAUGCCGCGUGCAGGAAGAAGGCCUUCGGGUUGUAAACUGCUUUUGUACGGAACGAAACGGUCCUGGCUAAUAUCCGGGGCUAAUGACGGUACCGUAAGAAUAAGCACCGGCUAACUACGUGCCAGCAGCCGCGGUAAUACGUAGGGUGCGAGCGUUAAUCGGAAUUACUGGUCGUAAAGCGUGCGCAGGCGGUGCUGUAAGACAGGCGUGAAAUCCCCGGGCUCAACCUGGGAAUUGCGCUUGUGACUGCAGUGCCGGAGUGCGGCAGAGGGGGAUGGAAUUCCGCGUGUAGCAGUGAAAUGCGUAGAUAUGCGGAGGAACACCGAUGGCGAAGGCAAUCCCCUGGGCCUGCACUGACGCUCAUGCACGAAAGCGUGGGGAGCAAACAGGAUUAGAUACCCUUGUAGUCC